UGCAGUCGACGGUAAGGCCUCUUCGGGGGUACACGAGUGGCGAACGGGUGAGUAACACGUGAGUAACCUGCCCCAGUCUCUGGGAUAACUUCUGGAAACAGGUGCUAAUACCGGAUAUUCAGCUUUCCUCGCAUGGGGUUUGUUGGAAAGGUUUUCUGGUCUGGGAUGGACUCGCGGCCUAUCAGCUUGUUGGUGAGGUAGUGGCUCACCAAGGCUUCGACGGGUAGCCGGCCUGAGAGGGUGACCGGCCACAUUGGGACUGAGAUACGGCCCAAACUCCUACGGGAGGCAGCAGUGGGGAAUAUUGCACAAUGGGCGGAAGCCUGAUGCAGCAACGCCGCGUGCGGGAUGACGGCCUUCGGGUUGUAAACCGCUUUCAGUGGGGACGAAGUUUUUUGUGACGGUACCCACAGAAGAAGCACCGGCUAACUACGUGCCAGCAGCCGCGGUGAUACGUAGGGUGCGAGCGUUGUCCGGAUUUAUUGGGCGUAAAGAGCUUGUAGGCGGUUUGUCGCGUCGGGAGUGAAAACUCAGGGCUUAACUCUGAGCUUGCUUUCGAUACGGGCUGACUUGAGGAAGGUAGGGGAGAANGGAAUUCCUGGUGAAGCGGUGGAAUGCGUAGAUAUCAGGAGGAACACCGGUGG
rnacentral:rRNA from 1 species